GUGUCUAUUCAUAUAAUGCAAUUACUUCCUUUUACAGUCAUUAGUUAUAUAAUCUUUGGAUUACCACCUUCUCAAAAAUAGACCCCCCCCCAAAGGGUGUUUUUUGUGUAUGUAAUCUUGGUUUUAAAAUUAAGUAAUAUGCUACACAAAUAAAUUUCUAGCCUAGGUUAUAAAAUUUAUGGAAAUUACCCAUGAAAAAAAGUAGAGUCAAUUGGAAAUGAUUAGUCUGUAGGAUAAUUUGAGCUAAAUGAUAAAGAAUCCAUUGACACAGACAGCAUGACACUUGGACCCUACUCUUCCAAGAUUUAGAAUUUCUUCUGUGUGGUAGAUUUUGCCUUCUUUAGUCUAGUACUAUGUGCAGGUGAAAAACAAUCAUAUUAUGUCUUAACAUUUGCAUAGAAAACACAUUACCAACAAAUGUACUUCUUUUAGUUUGUGGAAAAAAAUUAAUACAAAGGAAGGUAUAUAAACUGCAAUUUUGUAAUUCCAGAAUUGCUUUUUGUGGGCAACUUCUUUUGGAAUUUUGCCAUGAAGUUGUGUUCUCAGUGAAAAGGACUACUUGGUCAGUAUACACAGAGAAACAGAAAUCCCCAUAUUUAUGUACUCUAAAUGAAUUAUAAGGGUCACCUGCCUUUUUGUGUGUGGACAUGAGCCCAUUCUUUCUUACUCAAGAGUGUGAACCUUGAAAUAUCUCUACAGUUAUUCUCAGAGAAGAAAGCUUAAAUAGUUUUAUAAGUUUUGUGCAAAAAUCUUGAGACGCCAGACACAUUUUUAAGAUGGGAUUAAACCGUGGCAGCAAUGGAAAGGUCAAACAGAGUGAAAGAUUCCUUUUAUGUUUCCCUGGUGGUGGGGGGAACCUGAAACCUGAGGGCUUUGUAGUUUGUUCAGAGGCAAUAAACAGCUGGGAAGGUUUUUCUCCUGCUCUCCGUGAAUGUUCCCUGGCACCACCCAUCUCUCAGCAGGAAGUGGUGGGAAAUGAGAAAUAGCUUAUGGCUCAGAAUAUCUAAGCCCUGGUACCUUGAAAUGCUCUCCUUUCAUUCUUACUUUUUUUUUUGUCUUAGAUUCAUCACCAACAUACCCCAAAAAGCUUUUCUGUGAGCAACUCAUUCCGUUGAUGGCUAUAAACAUUUUCAUUUAUAAAUUGUCAAACAGUGCUUUAUUACCUCAAAUAAUAAGCAACCUAAAACUUAAGGCAAUGUUUUUCUUGUUGUUGUUUGUCUGUUUUUACCAUUUUUCUUUUUGCCCACUAACAACUUAUAUGAUAACCAUGAUUAUUAUUAUUUUAGGGAACUUUAUCACUUCAGAGGACAUUAUGGCACCAUUGUCAAUAACUUUUAUCACAACAGCAUUAGAUAGCUGAUGGCAUUAGGGUUACAUUCUUUCAUGGAAACUACACAGUUUCCAUUCUUAAAAAAUAUUAAAGAUUAGAAUUUAUAUUCAGAUAUCAUAUUCAUCAUAUUUUUCUUUAUGAAUUUAAGUGGGCACUAUUUUAAUUAUUUGAAAUUUAGAUGAAUAAGAAAAAAGUUUAAAAAUUACCUUUUAGUUGUAAAUUUCAGACACUUUUCCUCAAGGUUAAGUAUUAUGAUUCUGUAAAUAUUUGUAAAGGAAAAUUUUUCUUGUAAGAGAACUAUCCCUUGUAGGAAUUUCACAGAUACAGUAAGCUUUAUUUUAAUGUAUUUAAUUUUCUCUGACAAUAUCCCUAAUCUGAAAUCCUCAUGUUGAUUAAUACAAAUAACUUACAAAUGUAUCACUCACACAAUGGUUUUAGCCUAAGCAUAUAAAAUCAAUCCUCUCUGUAAACAGAACUGUGUAUUACUGGAAUAAACUACCUAGCUAUAAACAGGGGUGCAGAAGUUGAAAACCAACCACUGUUUGAAGUCACUCAAAAUGCCCAUAGUCUCAGAAGAAUCAAGUAUUUGAAUUUUAUAAACAAAAAUUCUAUGAAAAAGAAAGAUAUGAUUUAAUUUUAAGCCACUGCAGGAUUUCUCUCAGAAGAACCAUCUUGAGAGAAACACAUCUCACAGACCACAGGGUAUGUGAGAAAUGGACAGAAUGAAGGCAACAUGCAGAACAGUGAUGCUUGCUCUUCAUAGCAAUCAGAAGUGCACAUAAUUACUAUGAGUUAGUAAUCUGAUCAGUCAAAUCCCAUUCCACAAACUUAAUGUAUAGCUCAAGAAACAAUGCUUGAUAUGGAGAGAGAGAGAGAGAAAGAGAGAGAGAGAGAGAGAGAGGGAGAGAGAGAGAGAGAUUGAGAGAGAGAGAGAGGUAGGUAGGCCUAAUAGUGGCUAGACAAGGAGACUAGGAUUCCACACUCUGGAGAUGAGCAAACAUGACAUAAUUUACUUCUUUCCUUUACUUAGACAUUGUUACUUUAGCUGUCAGAGGCAGUACAUGAACCACACCCACAAAUCUCCACUCCUGGGCACAAAGACCAGUGUCACCUUCACUGCAGAUGACAAAAAACAUUGGUUCCCUUGCCUUCUCUCAUAUGCCCCAACCAAGACACAUGCUCACAUUCACAGACUGACUCUUACCUUUGACUUUUGACUCACUCUAUUUUCAACGAAGUAUCACUUGUCUUUUUAGAAACACAAAUGUUAUUUUAGUAUUUAUCACGUAUGAAUCUCAAAAAUAUACUAGAUUAUACAUUAUAUGUUUGCUUCCUAUAAAUCUUUAUUUAACUAAUUUUAUGUACUUUCCAAGGUGUUCUACUGUGCAUUAUAAAGGUAUAGCAUUUGUGGUUGUUCAAAUAUAAUGAUUAUGAUCAUUUUGAUAAAAUUCACCAGACAUUGAACUCUAAGAAAUGAAAUACCUAUUACAAAAUUGCUUCAGUUGGAGAACAUAUGACCUACUACAUCUUAUUAUUAGUUGCAAUCUAUUCCAAAUAAAUAAUAGUCUGGGAGCAUCCGGACUUAAAUACUAUUUGAAACACAACUUCCAAAUGAAAUGCAAAGUAAAACAUUGUCCAUGGAAAGUAAAUAUGAAUUUCUGACAGAGCAUAAAAUAAUAUUGAGACAAUAAUAAAAUUAAGAAAUUUAAUUGUUUUAAAAUCUGUGUGUGAUUUUUACCCUUCAGUAAAAAUGCAUAGUUGAAUUUCUUGCUCCUAAAUUUUUCAUUUUAUAUAUACUCCAAUCUUUAAAAGAUAUACAUAAUCUGUUGAUGAUAAUGUCUUAUAAGUCCAAGAAAUUCACAAGUGGAAUUACUACAAAGAAGAACAUAGUUGUACAACAUUAAAACCUGCCUUGUUACUUUAAAAAGGGCAAAACAGCUAAAGUAUUACUCUACACCACAACUCUGCAUGAAUGAAGUUUUGAGCUAAUUCAAUGACUUUACCCAUAAGUUAGUUGACUUUCCUAGAACUGUAAUAGUAAGUGAUUUUCUUACAUUUUUUGUUAUGUGAUGAAUGUAACUUUGUGAUUAACCAGAAUUCUGACAAUCAUAUCUUGCUAACCUAUAAAUGUUAACUUCUUCCAUCACUUAUGAGCUUGCAAUUUUCAAAAUAAAGUGAAAGAGAGCCCUUUAUAAAUUGUAAGGUUACUGAGAAUUUAUUACACAUUUCCGGUAUUCCCCUAACAUUAUCAUAUUAUAGUUUCCUUGGGUCGAAUAUGCUUGGAAUGAAUUGUAGAACAUUAGUAUUGAUGAUAUUAUUACAACCAAUAUGUUGACGUCUAUUUUCAAGUGAAAAGACACACAGAAAGCAUAAAUGAGUUACACGUUGUGAUAUAAUUAGAUUUUGUGUUUUCUUCUGCCUUUGUAUCCACCCAUUAAUGGUAAUGAAAAUUAGUUAAAAUGCAUAUUUGGCAGCAAGAUUUUACGUCAAAAUUGAAAUUUACUCAACAAUGACUGUCCUGCAGUGAUGUGAUCCAUUUUCCGUUUGACAAUUCUUCUCAAUGACAGCAGUCUUUGUCAUUUUAAUGUAGAUCUGUCUAGAUAAACAUUUGCUGAGCCUCUUUCUCAAAACUUGGUGGUUAAAUAUCAACUGAGCCUUCUGGGUAGUUUACCAAAUGAUUUUUUUAAAAUUAAUAUUUACCCUCCUUAAGAAAGCAUACCCUUAAAGAAAGGGUAAAAUUUCUUAGUCCUGGAGAAAACAAACUGCAUUGUAGACCCAGAUCACACAGUCAGUAGUGUUAAAGUUCCCUUGAUGGGGAGGUAUAGCCACACAAACUUGUAAAAUAAAAAUUAAAAAAUAAAAAAUAACUAGGACCUUUUGAUGCUAUACGGUUUAGAAAAAAUCUUCAAGAGUGGAGUGAUAAUGAAAAUAUUCUUUCUAAAUAGUGAAUGAAAUAGAUUAUUCUGAAUAUCAAUUUGAGCCAUUUUCAUAAGAAAUUAAUGAUGUAAAAUUGUGGUGUUUCUUUCCCUUUUGUCACAAUUAAGAUCAUGCAGAAUUUUUUGCUGGGAAAAGAAUAUUUAUGAAUAAUGUAAUGGUUUAUAUAAGCUUAGGGCUGACAUCAAAGACAAUAUUUAAUAAAUACAUGCCACAGGGCACAGCCCCAAAGCAAUUACUCUGCUAUUUUUGUAACAUACAAACAAACCAGCUAUCUCUGUUUCCAUGUUACUCAAAAAAUGUUAGACAAAUUGAUCUAAUUUUGGAAUCCAUAUGGUGACUUAUUAAAAUUAAUGUUUGAGCAAGAACUGGCUAGAAUAUUUAACAUUCAUGGAAAUGUGAAUUGUUCUACUAUUUAGGCAUUUUAGGCUAUCUGGCUGUUGAUUGAUACUGAAUAUGAUCUCUAAGUCUAGUCAAUCACUAAAUGCUUAGUGAGUUCUUGCUACCUCCAACACACAAAUAAAGGACAUGCAAUAUCUUCU
rnacentral:lncRNA from 1 species